UACAGAGGGUGCAAGCGUUAAUCGGAAUUACUGGGCGUAAAGCGCGCGUAGGUGGUUUGUUAAGUUGAAUGUGAAAUCCCCGGGCUCAACCUGGGAACUGCAUCCAAAACUGGCAAGCUAGAGUAGGGCAGAGGGUGGUGGAAUUUCCUGUGUAGCGGUGAAAUGCGUAGAUAUAGGAAGGAACACCAGUGGCGAAGGCGGUCUCCUGGAGCAUACUUGACGCUGAGGCGCGAAAGCUAGGGGAGCAAACAGG
rnacentral:rRNA from 1 species